UCAGAAGAGCGUAUCCGCCGAAUUUAAGCAUAUAAUUAAGCGGAAGAAAAGAAAAUAACAAUGAUUCCUUUAGUAACGGCGAGUGAACAAGGAAGAAAGCUCAUCAGUUUAAUCCUAGCAUUUUAUAUGUUAGGAAAUGUCUGGUUUAAGCAGUAUUUUUUUUUUUGCUUGUACAACAUUUGUAUUGAAGUAAGCAGGAAUGCUUUUUCAUAGAGGGUGAAAGACCCGUAAAUACAUUUAUGUACGUAAUGAUGCUUUAAAAAAAAUAUUGUUUAUAUAGAGUCGUGCUCUUUGAGAUUGGAGUACAAAUAGUUGUGUGAUACAUUUCACAUAAAGCUAAAUAUAUGUAAGAGACCGAUAGCAAACAAGUACCGUGAGGGAAAGAUGAAAUAGCACUCAGGAAUGAGAAUUAAAUAGUACCUGAAAUCGUUAAGAU